rnacentral:sRNA from 1 species
GAGGAGCGGCUUCGUGCGAAGCUCGACUGGAAUGCCGCGACGACCUGCCGCCGAACGGAUGUGAGGGGGCGAUACCAG